GAUCAAGCUACUAAGUGCAACAGGUGGAUGCCUUGGUGCCAAGAGGCGAUGAAGGACGCAACAAGCUGCGAUAAGCUACGGUUAGCCGCAAGUAGGCCUUGACCCGUGGAUUUCCGAAUGGAGCAAUCCAAUCCCAGUUAUGUGGGAUUAUCACUGGAUGAAUUCAUAGUCCAGUGAAGCGAUACGGGGUGAAGUGAAACAUCUCAGUAACCCCAGGAAAAGAAAACGAAUGUGAUUCCGUAAGUAGUGGCGAGCGAAAGCGGAACAGGCUAAACCUAGGAAACUUGUUUCCUAGGGGUUGUGGGACCUUAAUGUGGGACACCGAGAGUGAAUAUAAUGUUCUGGAAAGUUCAACCAAAGACCGUGACAGUCGGGUGUGUGAAGCUCAAAGUGCCCUAGAGGUAUCCCAAGUAAUGCGGUGCACGUGAAACUCUGCAUGAAUCUGUCCAGACCACUGGAUAAGCCUAAAUACUCCUUGGCAACCGAUAGUGAACUAGUACCGUGAGGGAAAGGUGAAAAGAACCCCUGCUAGGGGAGUGAAAUAGUACCUGAAACCCGUUGCAUACAAAGUUUCGAAGCCCCCUUGUGGGGUGACGGAGUGCCUUUUGCAUAAUGAGUCUGCGAGUUGUUGUCUGUGGCAAGCCUAAGUCCUUAUGGGAUGGAGGCGAAGGGAAACCGAGUGUGAAAUGCGCGAUUUAGUCGCAGGCAAUAGACCCGAAGCGGAGGUGAUCUAUUCAUGAGCAGGUUGAAGCAGCGGUAAUACGCUGUGAAGGACCGAACCGGUGUACGUUGAAAAGUGCUCGGAUGACUUGUGAAUAGGAGCGAAAGACUAAUCAAACCCCGUGAUAGCUGGUUCUCUCCGAAAUAGAUUGAGGUCUAGCGUCAGAUGCUGACUUACGGAGGUAGAGCACUGGAUGGCUUAGGGCCCACACCAGGGUACCAAAACCAAUCAAACUCCGAAUGCCGUAAGGUGUAAUCUGGCAGUGAGUCUGUGGGGGAUAAGCUUCACAGGCGAGAGGGAAACAUCCCAGACCGUCGGCUAAGGUGCCGAAAUAUGAUUAAGUGGAAAGGAUGUGAUGUUACUUAGACAGUGAGGAUGUUGGCUUAGAGGCAGCCACCAUUUAAACAGUGCGUAAUAGCUGACUCAUCGAGUGAUAUCGCGCCGAAAAUGAUUGGCGAUUAAAUCAUAUACCGAAGCCACGGACCCCGUUAUGCGGGGUGGUAGGAGAGCAUAAUCAGUGCUGCGAAGCUGGACUGUAAAGGAAAGUGGAGCGCUGAUUAGUGAGAAUGCAGACAUGAGUAGCGAUAAGCCAGAUGAGAAUUCUGGCCGCCGUAAACCCAAGGUUUCCUGGGGCAGGUUCGUCCGCCCAGGGUUAGUCGGGAGCUAAGACGAGGCCGUAGGGCGUAGUCGAUGCACAGCAGUUUAAUAUUCCUGCACCGGCAAGGGUUAAGGUAACAAGGGACGUGAAUAAAAAAGUGACUAAGUCAUCGAAAGACAGAGCCUAGCCUUCGGGCGAAGCGCAUCACCGGACUAUUGACCGAGAAAAGCUUGUUAUUGUUCCCCUGGCCGCCCGUACCGUAAACCGACACAGGUGGGUGAGUGUAAAUGCACUAAGGCGCGCGAGAUAAACCUCUCUAAGGAACUCGGCAAAAUAGCCCCGUAACUUCGGGAGAAGGGGUACCCCACGCAAGUGGGGUCACAGUAAAUUGGGUUUGGCGACUGUUUACCAAAAACACAGCACUCUGCUAAGUCGUGAAGACGACGUAUAGGGUGUGACACGUGACCAAUGCGACAAGAUUAAGGUGACUUGUUAGCCCUUGAGGCGAAGCUCGGAGCCGAAGUCCUCGUGAAUGUCGGCCGUAACUAUAACGGUCCUAAGGUAGCGAAAUUCCUUGUCGGGUAAGUUCCGACCUGCACGAAUCGUGUAACGACCGAACCGCUGUCUCGGAGAGGUUCUCGGCGAAAUUGUAGUGGCGGUGAAGAUGCCGCCUACCCGCGGUAGGACGGAAAGACCCUAUGCACCUUUACUAUAAGCUGGUAUUGGGUUCUGAUUCUUAAUGCGUAGCAUAGGUGGGAGACUUUGAAACGAUGGCUUCGGUUGUCGUGGAGUCGCCAGUGAAAUACCACUCUUUAUUAAUUAGGAUUCUAACCCCGAUCCUGUGAAGCCAGGCGGGGAACAGUGCCUGCGGGUUAGUUUGACUGGGGCGGUUUCCUCCCAAAGAGUAACGGAGGAGCGCGAAGGUACUCUCAGCACGGUUGGCAAUCGUGCGUCGAGCGCAUCGGUAGAAGAGUGCUUAACUGUGAGACACACACGUCGAGCAGAUGCGAAAGCAGGCCGAAGUGAUCCGAUAGUAGAAUGUGGAAUUGCUAUCGCUCAACGGACAAAAGGUACGCUAGGGAUAACAGGCUGAUCGCGCCCAAGAGUUCAUAUCGACGGCGCGGUUUGGCACCUCGAUGUCGGCUCGUCACAUCCUGGGGCUGGAGAAGGUCCCAAGGGUUCGGCUGUUCGCCGAUUAAAGUGGCACGCGAGCUGGGUUCAGAACGUCGUGAGACAGUUCGGUCCUUAUCCACCGUGGGCGUAGGAAACUUGAGGGGUUCAUUCCUUAGUACGAGAGGACCGGGAAUGACGCACUUCUGGUGUGGCAGUUGUUCCGUCAGGAGCAGCGCUGCGUAGCCAUGUGCGGACGAGAUAAGCGCUGAAAGCAUCUAAGUGCCAAGCUCUUCCCAAGAUAAGGUUUCCCUGAAGACCCCAGGUAGACUACCUGGUUGAUAGGUCAGGCGUGUAAGUGUGGCAACAUAUUUAGCGGACUGAUACUAAUCGGUCGUUCGGCUUGAUCGC
rnacentral:rRNA from 1 species